rnacentral:rRNA from 1 species
GACGAACGCUGGCGGCGUGCCUAAUACAUGCAAGUAGAACGCUGAAGCGAGGAGCUUGCUCUUCUUGGAUGAGUUGCGAACGGGUGAGUAACGCGUAGGUAACCUGCCUGGUAGCGGGGGAUAACUAUUGGAAACGAUAGCUAAUACCGCAUAACAACAGUUGUUGCAUGACAGCUGUUUAAAAGAUGCAAUUGCAUCACUACCAGAUGGACCUGCGUUGUAUUAGCUAGUUGGUGAGGUAACGGCUCACCAAGGCGACGAUACAUAGCCGACCUGAGAGGUGAUCGGCCACACUGGGACUGAGACACGGCCCAGACUCCUACGGGAGGCAGCAGUAGGGAAUCUUCGGCAAUGGGGGGAACCCUGACCGAGCAACGCCGCGUGAGUGAAGAAGGUUUUCGGAUCGUAAAGCUCUGUUGUAAGAGAAGAACGGGUGUGAGAGUGGAAAGUUCACACUGUGACGGUAUCUUACCAGAAAGGGACGGCUAACUACGUG